UAGUCAAUAGCAUCUCUACCUACAAAGCCAAUGAGAGUUGCAUGUGUGAGGCUUUUUGGGAGGGAUGAUUGUGAUGGAUUUGAGAAGCAUGCCUAAUUGUUUUUACUUGUUUGCUCCGGCGAGUGUAUCUGCAUCUAAACCUGGUACUGUAGACAAGGCCCAUCUAAGACUUACUUCAGCAAAAGCUGUCUUGCGCCUGUCAAAGUACUGGGAUAAAAAAAUACCGAUUGAUGUCUAUUAUUUGACUUUAAGAUUAUCACAGGAUGUCUACCCACAAGCUAGGAAGCUAUUCCUCAGCAAAGUACUAGCCAAUAUCCAAUUAUGUUUAAAUCUGUGUUUAUAUUUCUCAGUUCUAUGUAUGUAACUUGGGAAAAUUGUGCAG